CCAGGCUUGGGGGUAUAGUGGACAGAAUGUGCCCAAACGGAUAGGCCAAGGGUUCCUGACCCAAUCCAUGGCCUGAGAUGUGUUAGGCGGGUGUAGCAUAAGAUUAGGGGUGGAAAUCCCAAUCCAUUCGUUCAGCACAGUGGACCUUAAAGCGUAAUAUGAAAUGGAUUUAAAAAACCAUAGGAACUCUCUAAUCAGAUGCGACCGAAUCAAUCGUUUUGAUUAACUCUCCGCCUCGGCAUCACGGCUGCAGAUUUGGAAUGUCGGAGUUGCAUCGUGAUUCGGCCUCAAUCAUCAUCGUGUUCAAGCUUCAACAUCAUCUCGCAGUCUCAAAUCCGCAUCAAUAACUCAGCUCGAGAUUCAUCAUUUCCGCGCGUACAAACGGAGAGAACGGAAUUGAAAUUAAAGCGAGGAACUCACCGGUUCGACGUGGCGUUAGUUGGUUUUGCUUUCUGUUUGUGUUAGUUUGCAGUGCAUAGCAUGUUUGUGGGACUAUUAAUGAUUGGUGAUGAAGUGAAAGCUUUCAAGAUUUGUGAAGGAUAGAUUGGAUUGCUAUGGACUUUGGUCAUGUUGUAACUUUUGUCGAUUGAAUGUAUUAGAAAUUUACUUUGUAUGUAUAUGGUUGAAAUAGUUUAAUAUAUAUUUGGAAUUGAAUGAUGGGGUUUAUGUAAAUGUCUGGAAGGGAUUUGAAGAUCAACUUGAAAUGGUUUUAUGGAAUUUCAAAUUGAAAUGCUUGAAUGUAAAUUUGUAAAUACUAUGAAUGUACAUUUGUAAUUUUGGCAAUGAAUUUAAAUGUUAAAUUUGGAUA